UAGGGAAUCUUCCACAAUGGACGCAAGUCUGAUGGAGCAACGCCGCGUGAGUGAAGAAGGUUUUCGGAUCGUAAAGCUCUGUUGUUGGUGAAGAAGGAUAGAGGCAGUAACUGGUCUUUAUUUGACGGUAAUCAACAAGAAAGUCACGGCUAACUACGUACCAGCAGCCGCGGUAAUACGUAGGUGGCAAGCGUUGUCCGGAUUUAUUGGGCGUAAAGCGAGCGCAGGCGGAAUGAUAAGUCUGAUGUGAAAGCCCACGGCUCAACCGUGGAACUGCAUCGGAAACUGUCAUUCUUGAGUGCAGAAGAGGAGAGUGGAAUUCCAUGUGUAGCGGUGGAAUGCGUAGAUAUAUGGAAGAACACCAGUGGCGAAGGCGGCUCUCUGGUCUGCAACUGACGCUGAGGCUCGAAAGCAUGGGUAGCGAACAGG
rnacentral:rRNA from 1 species